CUUCAAUGACUGACUAGAAUAUGGAGUUAUCACAAGUCACAAGUGCUGUUAUGUCAGAUAUAAUGUGCCAAGGGAAUACUUACCAAGAAAAAGAUCUCCUUAUUCAGCUGGAUCAUUCCUGACUCUGAGUGCUGCAUAUGGAAUUGAGUAAUGGAUUUUUGAUGGAGAAAUCAGACAGUGUGACUUCAGACAUUUUUCAGAAACUCAAACAGUUAUCACCC